UGCUGCAAGCAACAAAGACACUGAGAAGAAGACUGAAGCCUCCAACUGAGGGGACUGGCCCAGAUUUUAAGGGUGAAAUCUGUAUACUAUGGACUGCAAUAUCCAUUGGGACUGAUAGUCCCUAUGUGUAUUCCACUGUGGAUGACUGACAAGCAGUAUUCAUUGAGGAGGGUGCAGAGGACCGCUGUGGUACCAAUGACUGGAAGACUGCUGUGCUGGAAGAUGCAUUAGCUGUCGAAACUUGUAUCCGGACGUGUCUCUCAUGAAGGUAGAAUGCCAGAGCCUGGUGGAUAUCUAGAGAAUGAAGUAUUAUGUCCUCACUGGUGACGUGGUUUCGGGAAGAAAACAGACUGUUAUCUUCAAAUGGAAAAUCCUCCACUGUAGAUUGGACUUCUCUGAGGACUGAAGCCAUGACACUCUACACUUGACAAUAGCCAACACCAUCAAUUGGAAGGCAUGUUCGCUGCAUCAACUGACACUUGGAGGAAUGAUCUGGUAAUCAAUUUACCUUCCUCAAUGAGUACUUGGAACUGCACUCUAUCCUACUGCAGGAGCUGGUUAGUAAAUUCUGUGAACUUAGAGUAAUUCACAAAAUUGUAUUUAGACAUUAAUGCCUGGCAAUUUGCUAUGCAGAAAUGUAGGCUAGUUGAAGUAAAAACUUUCUCCCAAAUAAGUUCCUUAUCAGAAGGCGGUAGAUCUUGGUUGAUGUUGCCUGUAUCUUUCAAUGACUGCUUGGACUAUGAAGGAGUUUGGAGCAAGGUGUGUAAAUAAAAAUUCUGCUCCCUAGACUGAUACAAAGUACUUCUGUUCUGUACCUCUUUGGAGCGGGGGAAUAUAUGACAGGUAUGCCAGACUACCGUGGCAGAUUCUAAGAUGGAGUCAUUAAUGAGGAUUGCCACCAACUUGGUAGGCCCAUGCUCUGCCGAAAGUUGAGGAGUUUAUGAGGGGGGAUCUGGAAUGCAUCAGCAACCCUCCUUCAUAGGUCUUGGAGUUCCAGAGCACAAGAAGGGUGCAGGUGCAGACUAAUGGAAACUGCUAGCAAAAAGGUUUUGGUUUUAGGAGAUUGCACCCCACAGCAGAAUACACAUAGGGACCAUCACUUGAAGAAGAAUCCUUGAGUUCCAAGUACAGAACUAAAUGAGAUUAGCACAUUUUGUGCAUUUGCCAAGCCAAAUCUUGCUCUUGGAUGCACAUGCACAA